rnacentral:rRNA from 1 species
UACGUAGGGUGCAAGCGUUAAUCGGAAUUACUGGGCGUAAAGCGUGCGCAGGCGGUGAUGUAAGACAGUUGUGAAAUCCCCGGGCUCAACCUGGGAACUGCAUCUGUGACUGCAUCGCUGGAGUACGGUAGAGGGGGAUGGAAUUCCGCGUGUAGCAGUGAAAUGCGCAGAUAUCAGGAGGAACACCGGUGGCGAAGGCAAGACUCUGGACAAAUGCUGACGCUCAUGCACGAAGGCUAGGGUAGCGAACGGG